CAGCAGCCACGGGAAUACGAAGGGUGCAAGCGUUAAUCGGAAUUACUGGGCGUAAAGCGUGCGUAGGCGGUGAGUUAAGUCUGCUGUGAAAUCCCCGGGCUCAACCUGGGAAUGGCAGUGGAUACUGGCUCGCUAGAGUGUGGUAGAGGAUAGUGGAAUUUCCGGUGUAGCAGUGAAAUGCGUAGAGAUCGGAAGGAACAUCUGUGGCGAAGGCGACUAUCUGGGCCAACACUGACACUGAGGCACGAAAGCGUGGGGAGCAAACAGGAUUAGAUACCCGCGUAGUCCCUGUCUCUUAUAC
rnacentral:rRNA from 1 species